AGAAUCAACGCUGGCGGCGUGCCUAACACAUGCAAGUCGAACGAGAAAGUGGAGCAAUCCAUGAGUAAAGUGGCGCACGGGUGAGUAACACGUGACUAACCUACCCGUUGAGUGGGGGAUAACCUAGAGAAAUCUGGGCUAAUACCGCAUAAUACCUUCGGGUCAAAGGAGCAAUUCGCUUAAGGAGGGGGUCGCGGCCGAUUAGUUAGUUGGCGGGGUAAUGGCCCACCAAGACUGUGAUCGGUA
rnacentral:rRNA from 1 species